CGAUUUCUGCAAAAGAAAUUGACUGGAUUUCCGUCAUUUUUUGUCGUUUGAUCGUUUAAAAGAAAAGAAAUUUACUUCGGAUAGAUAUAGAAAGCGAUUCUUAUGAGAUAGUUUAUGAGAUAGCAUGGGAUUGAAUACGCUUAGUAUGACGAUUUACACUGGGUUUCAAGUGCGGCUUCUCGUCAUCGCCGUGAACUUCAGCGAACUUCAAUGGCUGAAUCGCAUCAUAUCCAGACGACGGGCGGUCGGAUCUCGCCGGCGCACUGAACCGCGUCUGCGAGAACCGCACCUAAGGUGCGCCAUGGCGAUUUAUAUAAAAGAAAAUGACUGAAUUUCCGUUAUUUUUUG
rnacentral:lncRNA from 1 species